rnacentral:rRNA from 1 species
UACGUAGGGGGCUAGCGUUGUCCGGAUUAUUGGGCGUAAAGCGCGCGUAGGCGCCCGGUCAGUCCGUCGUGAAAGUCAAAGGCUCACCUUUGAAUGUCGAUGGAUACUGCCGGGCUAGAGUCCGGAAGAGGCGAGUGGGAAUUCCCUGGUGUAGACGGUGGAAUGCGCAGAUAUCAGGAGGAACACCAAUAGCGAAGGCAGCUCGCUGGGACGGUACUGACGCUAAGGCGCGAAAGCGUGGGGAGCGAACAGG